rnacentral:rRNA from 1 species
GACGAACGCUGGCGGCAUGCCUAACACAUGCAAGUCGAACGAGACCUUCGGGUCUUGUGGCGCACGGGUGCGUACCGCGUGGGAACCUACCCUUAGGUUCGGUAUACCUCCCUGAAGGGGGUGCUAAUACAGGUUAAUGUCAUAGGACCAAAGAUGUUUCGCCUUUGGGUGGGCCCGGGUUGGUUUAGCCGGUUGGUAGGGUAAAAGCCUGCCAUGGCGAGGAUCCAGAGCUGGUCGGGGAGGAGGAUCCGGCGCACUGGGACUGCGACACGGCCCAGACCCCGACGGGAGGGUGCAGUAGAGAAUAUAGUACAAGGGGCGAUAGCCUAAUCCAGCAGUGCCGCGUGAGUGAUGAAGGCCUUAGGGUUGUAAUUCUCUUUGACCCGGGGUGAUAAUGACAGUACUGGGAAAAUAAGCUCCGGCUAACUCCGUG